UACGUAGGUUGCAAGCGUUGUCCGGAUUUAUUGGGUUUAAAGGGUGCGUAGGUGGCUGAUUAAGUCAUGGGUGAAAGCCCGCAGCUCAACUGUGGAAUUGCCUGUGAUACUGAUUAGCUUGAGUGCGGUUGAGGCAGCUGGAAUUGGUGGUGUAGCGGUGAAAUGCAUAGAUACCACCAGGAACACCGAUUGCGAAGGCAGGUUGCUAAGCCGUAACUGACACUGAGGCACGAAAGCGUGGGGAGCAAACAGG
rnacentral:rRNA from 1 species